UACGGGGGGGACAAGCGUUGUUCGGAAUUACUGGGCGUAAAGGGCUCGUAGGUGGCCAACUAAGUCAGACGUGAAAUCCCCAGGCUUAACCUGGGAACUGCGUGUGAUACUGGAUGGCUUGAAUUCGGGAGAGGGAUGCAGAAUUCCAGGUGUAGCGGUGAAAUGCGUAGAUAUCUGGAGGAAUACCGGUGGCGAAGGCGGCAUCCUGGACCGACAUUGACGCUGAGGAGCGAAAGCUAGGGGAGCAAACGGG
rnacentral:rRNA from 1 species